rnacentral:lncRNA from 1 species
UACCAUAAGGUAACUUAAAAUUGACAUGUAUAAGACAAUGUUUGGCCGAUCAUGACCUUCUUUUACUACUCCCUUCAGUGAUGAGAAUUCAUUCCAUUAUUUACAUCAUUUUUAGUUUAGAAGUUCUGUGUUGUUAGAUGUGCGAAUUUUGAUUCCAUAGAGCUAUUGGGAUCAAUUCUUUGAAGAAACAACAAUCGUAUGUGCCUAUGUGGUAAUUAGAGACCAAAUGUUGAAUAAAUCAUUUCCUUAACCUCAAUUUCAAGAUUUGGUGCUAUGUGGAUGGAUUGAUACAAGGUGGUAAAAGUUAAUUUGUGUUAAAGUUGUUUAUGUAUAUUGAUUCUAUAUGUAUUAAGGAUAAAAUAUGUAAAUGGAUUGAAAUGCAUGUAAUUACUUCUAAACUUUUUUUUUGUCUUCCUUGAGUCUUGAACACCUAACUUAUGACGAAGGAGCACCUUGCCACCAACACAUGAUAGUGUUGGGAUACAAUCCCUUUGUUGAUAGCUUCGAUACUUAAAAAAGAUUUUGGUGUUUAAAAUUAUCUAGACUGUGAUUAUUACUUAAUCUCAUUUGUUAAUUGUAAUAAUCCUUGUAUAUUCUUUAAACAACCUACUUUGAUUUAUUAUAAGUUUUUAUGUUUUAGGACCUCCGCAAAUGAUUAAAAAUGUUCUAAAAACUUUUAAAUAACAUUUUAAAUUAGACUUAGCAUAAUUUAAACAUUCAUUCAUUUUUUGUAAUUGGGGGAGGAAGAGUCGUUAGGGGAUUUUCGGCAAACCUGAAGCGGAUGGAUGAACAAAAGUGGAACAAAGAAGGAGUACGGUGAAUAUGGAUUGGAGAGGCAGCAACCAGGAUCAUCUCAACACGAGCUAAUUUCGCAUUUGCAAGAUUCAUAAAGGUGGAUAGCAACAUGCAUAUGGAAAGACUCUUAAUGGACUAUCGAUAGGACAUAAACUAAAGGUACAUGUGGUGAGAUUUAUCUAGAAGAAAUAGGUGGUUGCUGCCCAAAUGACUGGUGUAUCAUACGAGGGGAAUCAAGUGAAACAAAAUAUUACGUAGGGUUUUGCAAAGAAUGGAAGAAAUUAGACAUUUGGUCAGGACACAAAAUAAUCAUUCGUUAACGAUCUAAUAGCAAAUCAUAGAAAGGG